rnacentral:tRNA from 1 species
GCGGGUGUGAUGUAAUGGCUAGCAUCUGAGUGCGCCACACUCAGCGUAUGGGUUCAAAUCCCAUCACUCGCU